rnacentral:rRNA from 1 species
GGUUAAGCGACUAAGCGUACACGGUGGAUGCCCUGGCAGUCAGAGGCGAUGAAGGACGUGCUAAUCUGCGAAAAGCGUCGGUAAGGUGAUAUGAACCGUUAUAACCGGCGAUGUCCGAAUGGGGAAACCCAGUGCAAUUCGUUGCACUAUCGUUAACUGAAUACAUAGGUUAACGAGGCGAACCGGGGGAACUGAAACAUCUAAGUACCCCGAGGAAAAGAAAUCAACCGAGAUUCCCCCAGUAGCGGCGAGCGAACGGGGAGCAGCCCAGAGUCUGAAUCAGCUUGUGUGUUAGUGGAACGGUCUGGAAAGUCCGACGGUACAGGGUGAUAGUCCCGUACACCAAAAUGCACAGGUUGUGAACUCGAAGAGUAGGGCGGGACACGUGGUAUCCUGUCUGAAUAUGGGGGGACCAUCCUCCAAGGCUAAAUACUCCUGACUGACCGAUAGUGAACCAGUACCGUGAGGGAAAGGCGAAAAGAACCCCGGCGAGGGGAGUGAAAAAGAACCUGAAACCGUGUACGUACAAGCAGUGGGAGCACCUUCGGGUGUGACUGCGUACCUUUUGUAUAAUGGGUCAGCGACUUAUAUUCUGUAGCAAGGUUAACCGUAUAGGGGAGCCGCAGGGAAACCGAGUCUUAACUGGGCGUUAAGUUGCAGGGUAUAGACCCGAAACCCGGUGAUCUAGCCAUGGGCAGGUUGAAGGUUGGGUAACACUAACUGGAGGACCGAACCGACUAAUGUUGAAAAAUUAGCGGAUGACUUGUGGCUGGGGGUGAAAGGCCAAUCAAACCGGGAGAUAGCUGGUUCUCCCCGAAAGCUAUUUAGGUAGCGCCUCGUGAAUUCAUCUUCGGGGGUAGAGCACUGUUUCGGCUAGGGGGUCAUCCCGACUUACCAACCCGAUGCAAACUACGAAUACCGAAGAAUGUUAUCACGGGAGACACACGGCGGGUGCUAACGUCCGUCGUGAAGAGGGAAACAACCCAGACCGCCAGCUAAGGUCCCAAAGUCAUGGUUAAGUGGGAAACGAUGUGGGAAGGCACAGACAGCCAGGAUGUUGGCUUAGAAGCAGCCAUCAUUUAAAGAAAGCGUAAUAGCUCACUGGUCGAGUCGGCCUGCGCGGAAGAUGUAACGGGGCUAAACCAUGCACCGAAGCUGCGGCAGCGACACUAUGUGUUGUUGGGUAGGGGAGCGUUCUGUAAGCCUGCGAAGGUGUGCUGUGAGGCAUGCUGGAGGUAUCAGAAGUGCGAAUGCUGACAUAAGUAACGAUAAAGCGGGUGAAAAGCCCGCUCGCCGGAAGACCAAGGGUUCCUGUCCAACGUUAAUCGGGGCAGGGUGAGUCGACCCCUAAGGCGAGGCCGAAAGGCGUAGUCGAUGGGAAACAGGUUAAUAUUCCUGUACUUGGUGUUACUGCGAAGGGGGGACGGAGAAGGCUAUGUUAGCCGGGCGACGGUUGUCCCGGUUUAAGCAUGUAGGCUGGUU